UACAGAGGGGGCAAGCGUUGUUCGGAAUUACUGGGCGUAAAGGGCGCGUAGGCGGCCUUCUAAGUCGAACGUGAAAUCCCCGGGCUCAACCCGGGAACUGCGUCCGAGACUGGAAGGCUUGAAUCCGGGAGAGGGAUGUGGAAUUCCAGGUGUAGCGGUGAAAUGCGUAGAUAUCUGGAGGAACAUCGGUGGCGAAGGCGGCAUCCUGGACCGGUAUUGACGCUGAGGCGCGAAGCCAGGGGAGCAACGGG
rnacentral:rRNA from 1 species